rnacentral:rRNA from 1 species
AAGUCGUAACAAGGUUUCCGUAGGUGAACCUGCGGAAGGAUCAUUACCGAGUUAGGGUCUCCUCCGUGAGGCCCGACCUCCCAACCCCGUGUCUACUAAACCUGUUUGUGUUGCUUCGGCGGAACGGCAGUCGUUUCGGACUCUCCCUUCACCGGGGGACGAAGGACAACCGUCGCCGGGGAAAUGCACGGUCCCACGACCGUCCCCUGGAGAGCGUCCGCCGAUGGCCCCAACCAAAACUACCAAACCCAAACCAUAACUAAAAUUUUCUGAAUCAGACCUUUUGAUAUACCAAUCAAAAACAAAACUUUCAACAACGGAUCUCUUGGUUCUGGCAUCGAUGAAGAACGCAGCGAAAUGCGAUAAGUAAUGCGAAUUGCAGAAUUUCCGUGAGUCAUCGAAUCUUUGAACGCACAUUGCGCCCUUUGGCAUUCCGAAGGGCAUGCCUGUUCGAGCGUCAUUAUCCUCUCUCAAGCCCCCGGGUUUGGUGUUGGACCGCGUUGGCCGGCUUCGGCCAACUGGUCUCAAAGACAAUGACGGCGUCCCAGGGACCCUCUUCGCACUGAGCUUUCCGGAGCACGCGUAAGAGUUUCAAGGGCCCAGGGACCCGGUCGCCUCUAAAAACCUUUUUCAGGUUGACCUCGGAUCAGGUAGGAAUACCCGCUGAACUUAA